rnacentral:lncRNA from 1 species
GUGAUCUGAAAUAGAUCGAUCGAGAAUGAUUUAAGAUAGGUCAUUUAAAGCCGAAGAGUUGAGAACCACUGCUGAUGGGGUGUCUGACUUUCUGUCGCAUCUACAUCCUUGUCAGGCGUUCAUCUCCUGUAGCUCGAUCGGACUAGAGGAUGUCUCAAUCAAGGUUGAGGUAUAUAUCUAUAAUAGAUGUCCUCCACUCUCGAGACUGAGC